UCUCUCUCUCUCUCUCUCUCUCUGUGGCUCUCUCACUAGCAGCUGGUUAUGAUCACGUGGAGUAUGAUGCGAGGAGGAAGGGGGCGCCCCUCAGUAACUAUUAGAAUAUCUUACUGGUGGAGUAGGCAAAGGAGAGGAAUAAUGAUAGGAUGAUUUUAAGAAAUAAAUAAAAGACAAGAAAAAACAAAGAUUGAAGAUGGAAAAGAGAAAAACUGAGAGCUCCAGGCUUAGUCCCAUCAGCUGGUGAUGACUACCCCAUGGCUAGGCAGUAUAAAAAGCAGGAUACACUGCAUUUAUAAUUGGCCAGGAGCAUUUAAAAAGUCUGCAGGAAUCGAUUCGUCCAGCCUGGUCAGGGAUAAUUGCUCUACUUUGAAACGACACUGACGCUAUUCCUAGGUCUCUGCCUGCAGGCAAUCCAAAGAAACCUCAAUAUUAUUUUGGAUAUAAGCUACUGCUGUCAGGAUGCAGCCAGUAAUUGACAUGCUUUUGGCCAUGAAAGCCCCAGAAAGUGUUCAGCAUCAGCGGGAGUUAAAGAGGUCAAGUCCAGAAUCAGGUUGAGAACGCUCACCCUCUAUGAAUCGAGGAAAUUGAAAGCCAUGCGCAUGGAAAAGCCCCACAAAGCAAACAAAGGGGUCGUUGUCAAGGCGGUCACAGCCAUAAAGACACUUGACCUCAUGAUAUUAAGGAAGAAAAGCUGCAGAUGCUGUAAACAAAUAAGCCUUUUAUUGCUUGUCCCUCUAAGAUCAUUACACGGGUUUUUCUCAGCUAAUGUGGUUCGCGACACAUCUGCUGCGGCAAACAGCAACCAGUCACAUUCAAACAGUUAGAGGUCCUCUGGGUCAUCACAAGGAGUGAGGAAUACUUCACAUAGCUUCACAAACACAUGCGCGCACGCACAUUGGGCAAGUAUCCUCAUGGCAGGACAAAUCACCAAGAAUGUUCUACCUAAUUCACACAUGAGGUUAGUCAUAGAUUGGCUUUAAACAUCUUGUGACGCUUGCUGCUAAAUUACGAACACAACUUUGGAGUUCUGCAGAGCUUCUAAGUCUUCUUAGAGUACAAUGUUUAGGCUUUAUUGUCUUUAGAUGGACAAUAUGAGGCAGUUAUUUCCAGCUAAAGAUGCCCUGCUGUACCCUCAGUCUACAUGACCAGCAGCUGACAGACAAAGUGACAAGAGGUGUGAAGAAAUGUCAUCAAGCAUCUAUCAACAGAAGGCUAUUAUAGAAUGGAUUUGUCAGAACUUGCUGAGGAACAAAGUAACGGGACAGUCAAACUUGAUUCAGCUAGUACUGCUUUUGUCUACUGAAUUUUUAAACUAGUAUAAAUGGUUUUAGCCACCCAGGGGCAGCUGAAUGAAGCUGUGAACACAAGCCUGAUAAAUUAUCUUCUAGAUAUUUAAAUCUCAUUAGUGAACUAAGCCAAUAAUUACAAAACAACACUGGCAUUCAGUUGGAGUCAUGUGUCUGAAUAUCUCUACAGCAGCUCCAGUGGGACAUAUCUGGUAUUUUAGCAGCUAAACGCUUUACGGUGUUCACAACCUAGUUACCAGUUGUGUCAAACCAAUGCACCUUUAAAUCUUUUGGCCUUGUGACAUUAGUUGAUCAGAUUUGCUGUGGGAUUAUGGCUAUAGAUUGCGAUGCACUUGAAUUUGCAUGAUGAAAUUGGGAUAGCUGAAUUUAAACGUUCAUUAAAACUCAUGGAUGUAGUAGUUUGACAAAGAAAAUCAUUGUAGAACGUCCAUUUGCUGAAAUAGUUCUCGAACUUUUGCCACAUCUCUUGCCUUGAUCAGCAUCGUGUGAGACGCAGACAUUGCUCAGUUGUAAUGGAGAUGGCUGGGUUGUAAAUUCACUGUAAAAGCAUGAAAUUGCCAUCAUGUGACUGCUGAAGAAUCCCAGAGGAAGGCAUGCUUCUGAGCGAGAAUGCAAUUUUCUUUACACAGAAGCAGCUUGUAAACAAAUAUAGCAUCAUUGAAUUUUAUAGAUGUGUAGUCUUUGCCAAGUUGCAGCAACCACAGCUGAAUUAAUGGGAUCAUAUUAGCCUUAGACUAUGACAAGGGAGGGGGGAAGGGAAGGCUAACUAGUAGGGUGGUGGCAACCAACCUAAGGCUGCCUUUCUACUCUACUAAUUUGGACUUCAAAGCAAGCAGUCUCUCUUUGCUUCCAGCUGUCUUUAUUUGUCCACUGAAGCGUUCGGGUAUACUGUACGUUGCCACUUUAAAGGCAAUAUUGUAUAUAAUGUAGAGUGUGAAAUUGGAGUACAAUAAGAGAAAUAGAACUAAAACAUGACACUUUUAGUGCAGUGGAGUUUGUGAGUCUCUUAAGUCUAAUUUUCUAGAAGCAAUACUGAGUCCUUCGUAUGAAGUACAGGCUUUUUUUCAGUGGCAAAGCUGUAGAGAGGAAGCCUUAGACCUUGGUUAUCAGUGACACUUGUUAACACAGUUGUCAGUCUUACUUCCUCUAUAUCGUUCUGUCUCUUGACAAACAGAGAAAACAGCAUUCAUUCUGCUUUUUGAGCCAUCAUCAAAAGGAGCAGUCUGGUCAUAAAGAAUAGGUUUUCUAAUGGGAGACUUCAACCUUUAUAUCUGAUGUAACACACUGGCGAGGAAAGAAAACACAUCAACUAAUGGUAACCAAGACUAGCCUGUUUCAGCAGUAGAACUGAAAAGUAUAAGAUGGCCAUAGGUCAUUAUCUGAUUUUUUUUGUGCAUCCAAAGUAAGACUGGCCUCCCUAAACGAAUCUAUAGAUUGUUUUAGAAAGCAGCUUUUAACAAGUAGAUCAUUUCUUUGUGACGAACCCCUCUGGCUGUAAAAAUGAUGAGGGAAGCAACAUAGCAAAAGGUGUCAUUUGGGAGUUGCUCAGUUGGUGUAAAGGAGGGGUAGAAGGGGUUUUAGGGUGGGUGGAUGAGCCUACAAAGCAUUGGACUGUAACAUAGAAGACUGCUGGUUGUUGUAUGUUUCAAACAAUCAUCUCUAACAGUUGGUAUUGUUUCUUUAAACCGUGAACAGUCAUUAAUUUUAAUAGCGUGAUUAUUGUUCUUCUAUACUUAGCAAAGCACUUCUUUUUUUUUUUUUUUUUUUUUUUUUUUUACCAAAACCACAAACCUUUCCGAAAGCUAAUCAUGAUGUUUUUGUAUCUAAACCUAACCAAACCUGUGCUAUAAGAACACCUCUGACUACCAGUGCGGUCGUCUUACCUCUGGUACACUCAUUAUACAGGACUAUAUCAAAAGAAAGUGAAAAAGCAGCAAUAGCUAGGGCUGAAACAUGACGAAAGCAUCAAAGUGCUAAAAAAAUAUAAAAUACAAAUAAAAAAUGCAGUUCUUCGUUUGACUACUUGAAUCUGCCUCCUCAAGUGAAUUUAUCCCCACAGAACUCCACGUUAAAAUGGCCAACUUUACAACGGAAAUAAAGCAUGUUCAAAGCCUGGUACAAAAACAACUUUUGUCUCCAUAGCUUAUUUUGAGCUCAUGACAACUGUAUGGGGGUGAACUUCAAAUACCUCAUCCACUUGAGCUUCAUCCAUCGUUUUAUGCCGCCAAUUGGACACACAAAUGGCAUAUUCAGUUAUUUUUUUUAUUCCUUGUCCAUCUCUAUUCACCAUUAAAUACACUCAGAGUUGUUUUGCCUGCCCACAUUUAGAGACCUGUCACCGUCACACUGUGAUUUAUAAAAGGGAAGGAGCGAGCUUCACUUUUCAAGGUUUUAUAUAACUGGCUGGGGAUGUAAACAAAGCAGCAAAGCAGUUUAGUGCUUAGAUAUUCAGAUAGGCUUUAAGCAGGAGUCAAAAAGCCAAGAGGAGUCUUUGAAGAGUCUCCAGUCUGACACAAAGGGUCCUGACCACUGUGACAGCGUCUGGCCUUGUUGGCUUGUACCAGACAUCCCUGAGGUAAUGCCACAUACAAAAGCUCACUUUAGAAUUAGAGAAAGGUUAAUAAGUAAGAAAUAUUAGUAUAUAGGAAUUUUCAAUGCUAUGGAUGAUCAUUCAGAUGUUGUCUCUUUUAUAUGUCUUUAAUGGGCCAUGAGGGGUUUUUCAACCGUCCAGCUGGCUACUGGGACAAGGGCAUCAAAGCUCUGCAGGUGUUCAGAGUUUUGAGAGAGAAUGAAUUAGUCAUUUGUGCUCUGGCAUUAAUAAUUUGUACCUCAAAAAAGCAAGUUAACUUGCAUGCAAGUAGUUUGUCAGACGGAUCUGGUGAUUGCAGUUGAAUAGAAACAAUCUUCACAGAACAAAACCCAUUAGUUACGCUGUAAAAUGUGGUUAAAAUGUCAAAGACAAUAUAAAGGGCUGUUUAUCAGGCAAAACAACAGGCAGAACAGACAGAAUAAGGUGGAUCUAAAAACAAAACAAAACCGCAUUAAACAUGUGCAACUAUUUAAAAUUCUUCACAGCAUGGUGUUUAUCUUGCACUGCUUUACAAACUGGUAUAUGUACAGUGAACAGGUAGCAGGCCGAAACUGGUCACUGCAGCUAAAGCAGCAUCCAAUAAUGCAGGCAUCACAAGUGUAUGACAAACAGAUUUUUGAAGGUGUAAGCACUGAGGGAAUCAAUUAAAUACAUUUGAAGGAAUGAAUUUGUUUUUGACAAAUAACUAAAAUCAUAUUCUGUUCAAGCUCAUCCUUCAUGGACCAAAGAAGGUAAAAUAUUAUCAACUCAGUUUCUUAGUGCUCUAAUGGCACAUUGCUUAUUGAAAUCACUAUUGCUUUCUAAUUUUAUGCAUGCAGCUAUACUUAGAAUUGCUGUCAAACAGUGUUUACUGGAGUGGCCAAGACCAGCGCUCACGGUAGGGCGGCUUAAUUUCUCCUUAAUUUUGGAAUUUAUUUUUUAUUUUUUCUGCCUGGUAAUUUGCUUUAAGCCAAAUCAUUCAUCAUCAUCAGUCACUUUUGAUGUUGACUCAGUCUUAUCAGUUGCUUAUGCAGGCAAUACUGCCAUACAGAAGUAUGCCAUGAAGACUAAGCAUACAGAAUAAUGAGCGUUUUAUGUAACAAUCGAUUGAUUGAAUUGAUUAUAAAUAUGGAAUGGUUGCUGAAGUUUACAUUUUACAGUAUAAAUUACAUAAGAUAGUGACACACUUAUGUUCAAAAUGAAAUCUUCUGCCCAAAACACCCAGCUGAGAUGUCACACUGUGUCCAUUCAGCCUUUUGUUUCUUCCUUUUGGCUACAGGUUCUGAGUCAGCCUUGCAUUGUUCAGCAGUUUGCACUCUUUAAAGCAGGUUUCAUCUCAAAAGCUUCAUGUAAAGCACAGCUAAACCUAACUGUGUUCACUUUUAAAUGACAUAACACUUUUUUGAAUAAGUUGGAUUAUGUUCAUUUUGUCAUUUCUUACUGUAGAACAGCAUUACUUUUAAACCGCCAACUAAAUCAGGAAAGUGUGGUUUUACCUUGCUGACGUGUUCUGCAGUCUUCCUCACAGCUUCAUCAGAUGUGUGAUGACCUGUCCUUUUUUAUCAGGUGUGAAUCUGUUAGACCGGCCACGCCCUUCUCUGUCAGGUGGUCUCUGGAGGAUGGAAUCCAUGUGAGAAGUUGUGAUGCUGGUCCAUUCAUAAAGCGUUCUGACUACUGAGAGUUUGUGUGCUGUGGGGUGUCCUGAUGUCCAGAGGAGGUGCUGGUCCGUGUGUGCAAGUUUCCUGUAAACUGUUAUUUUAAUGCUGCCUUCUUCAGUGAGGGGCUGACAGUGUCUUGGGAAUCAUUGGCUGGUGUAUGUUACCCACGGCAAAAGUUGAAAGAUGCUGGAUGCUGGAUGAAGGAGGUGGUCACGGUGGACGAUGGAUGUGCAGAACUCAGGACUAAAAAAGACAUCUGGUUUGAUUAAUAACCCUCCAGUAAUGUUUAAGAAAAAGAAUUCGCUCACUGGAGCAAUUUAUGACAACUGAUGUGCUGUUUCUUCAAAAAAUGUUCAAUUACCUAGCAUAUAGUUCUUAAAAUUCCUUCUACUCCCUUCCCCUCUUGAAUACCCGGAACCUAUGAAUAUGCUAAAUAUUAUACUAAACUUGAAGUUUAAUGAGAAGAGUUCUCCUAUUUAAACAGAAAUGAUGGUUCUCUGGAUGUGCAAGCAAGUGCAGGUUUUCCCAUGACACGCAAGUUGCAUACUGAAAAACUGAUUUUGUGAUGUCGCUGGCUCUAUUUGCUGUAUUUACAUAAGUGAGAGUGACGAUUAAGGCAAGCACAAGAAAUUGACACAUUUCAGCAGAUACAUAUGAAAAUGUGCUUCUCUCAAGUCAAAUUCUGCAGACACAUCAUUCUGCACUUUAAAGCUCCAACUGAAGUUACAAGAAGUCUGUAUGUUUUUAUGUGAAGGGGGAACUUUACAGUUUGGUAAAGAUCAUUAUUUCAGUUGCAACUUAAACACGACUCGUCUCUUACUUCAAGUCAGGUGUUUUUUCUUUAUGCAAGCUGACCAGUCCACCAAGUGUUGUGAGUGCAUAGGGUUUAGCAGAUAUAUUUAUUAACAUCUUUUCCUCACUGUGAAUUAAACAAGACUGAAAAUGUAAUGUGGGUGGUGGUACAUCUCUAUCAAAUUAUAUUUGCCCUUAGUCGUAUAAUUAUAAGAUCAUUUUCAAGGGAUAGAGCUGCUUAGGGAACUCAAUGCAGAAGGUGUCAGGAGGGACAUUUGUACCCUUAAAUAAGUAAAUUUGUGCUGUUGAAUUAAUUAUAUGACCCCCAAAUGACUUAAAAUAAAUCCCUCAAUUAAAUAACGCCGCGACCUUCAUUGAGCUUCCAAAAUUCACGGAGCUUAUCAAAACUCAAUGUACUUUAGUUAAAGUGGCUCUAAUGGAUAUUUUCACAUAACAAUGGUUCAAAUGGCAGCGUGAAAACAAUGUGACAAUUCACACUGGUCAUUUGUUUCUUCACAUAGCUAGAUAUAUUUCUACAGUAUUGUAUCAAUGCUGGAAAAUGGACUGGCUGCAUCUCAGAAUCAUUCUGCUGUAUGGGGGAAAAUGCUCUCUUUCUUCUUUCAGCUAACACCAGAUAUUAGGCAGUGCUAACAACAGGAUGUAGCAACAAUGUCCCUGCACAAGACUGACAUGAAUUUGUUUUGGUGCAACACUUGCAUGCAGAGAGAUGAGCACCGUCAACAAAAAGGUUCAUUUAAUGGCAGAAACAAGGAAGAGCGCCAUUAUUGUACGAUCCAAAUCUUCUGCAAAACCUGACAUUUUCAGCCUGUAGUUUGCGGCUCAGAAGUGGUUGUUGUUGUUGUUUCCUGUAGUAAGGGGAUUCGGAAAACAGCAACACGCAGAUAACGAAAGAAGAGGAGAAAGAAAGCCAUGUGUAAUGCAUUUAGGUAACAGCAGGCUUUGACCUCAAGUCGACAUUAGAUGAGUCAGACUAGGUCACCUAGGUUUAUCCUGUCUUGAUAUUUUGCACAUUAUUUUGUUGCUACCUGUGUUAUAGCAUGUACGGCACUUUGGUCAACUCGGAAUGGAUUGGUCGUGCUUCAAGAGCUCCAGAGAGAAGCGAUAGUGAAGGACAGAAUUCUGCAGCAGUCAGUCCAGGUCCUGAGUGAUGUGGUCUCAGAAAGAGAGACUGUUCUCACCCAGCAUGAGCAGGAAGGCCUAACUGCUCUGUGGGACUGCGAUGAUGAGUCAAAGGACGAGGUCUUGGAUGACAAGAUGCAACAGCACAUUAUUACCUGAAUGAGCAGCUCUUCUUGGCUCAUUUUUAGCUCUCCGAAACACUAUUUUGUUUGGCACCAAAUGGUACACUGGGAACUAAACUCGCUGGUGAACAUAGUGGAGUUUUUAGCAGCUCAAGAGACACAUAUUUCCCUCAGGAGUUGGUAGAGAACAAAACCAGAGUGAAACGAGGCUGAAUACCAGUUGUAUCCCAUUUGGACAAAGCCACAUGCAGGAGGGCAGGAAGUACAGCAAGUAACCUAUGGCGCUUUUAACUUACUCAGGAAUCAAUACCCAAUCUGAAGAGCAAAACUGUAAAGUAUGUCUGCAAGCAUGGCUGCUGGACUAUAAUUUGAUCUUUGUUGUUCAAGCAGAAAAGAAAAGAACUUAAACAUACCAAACACUCCUUUUUCUCAACAAGUAAGCAUGCCCUGUCCAUGUGUUUCUCUGAAGAAAAAACAAGGUAGAGUGCAUCCAUCCCUGACACAAAGCCAUUCAGGCCAUGAAAUAUCCAUCAUAAAUAUCCCAGUGUGUUUUCAGUCAGAUGGAUGUUUGAGGGGAUGAAUGAGGAAGUGGAUUUUUCCUCUUUGCCACUCAUGGGAACUAAUAGAGUUAGCCUGGGGGUAUUAGCCUGCAGUGCAGCAGAAAGACAGCUGCAGCAGAGUUGUUACAGUAAAGCUGUAGCGCUUGGUGUAUACUUACACCUAAAGCACCAUCAUCCCGCGCAUUUUUAGUAUGGGUGACACGACUGGUAGUCACGACACUUCUGGCAGUAUUAGUUCCUAUCUCUAGAGCUCUGCAAGUUCGCAUAGUUCAUGGAAAUCUUACUUUUUCAUCUCAGAAAAAUAUGAAGUUUGACACUUCCCUAUGGUAAGUGGGUAUCUGAUUUGCCCCUUGAGUGAUGGCCUAUAUCCAGAUCAUAUUACUCCAGGCCAGUAAAUCAGUCUCAGGUUUGUGUCCUUUACUUAUCGCUCUCACAAAAAUUAGCCCGGAAUUAAAGACUUCUUCAAUUCAUUGACAGCUCACUCAUCCACCAGACUAAACCUAAAUUGUCUGAGUGGAAAGAAAAGUAUUACUUCUUCUUUUUUUUUCUCUUAGCUUUCCUCAAGCAUCAGAAAGUCAGAAAGUGGAAAAUGUGAACAAGAAGCCAAAACAUUGUCAAACUUAAUUUGCAGCAAUUAUACUACACUGGUUCUAUCUGUUCCUAUAGUUCAAGGGUAUCAAACAUUAGACCUGCAGACCAAACCCAGCCCACAGGAUGACAUCGCAAAGUGCAAAAAUUAAAGAGGUUAAAAUGAAUACUUAUUGUGAAAGUAUUUAAAGACACUGAACACUGUGCAACAUAAUGUGACUCAGCAGCUUCAGUAUGACUGAGUCUGGUUGUUGAUGUACUAUCACAACUUAUAUGCAUUUGUUAUGCAGAAAUUUUCUACAUUUACAAGGCAGGAGGGCAAUUUAACCUUCUUACUUAUUAGUUCAACCUUUAGUUUUUGUGGUGUGUCAGGAUUCCUGCACAGAUGUGGAAAUGAAUGGGAAUUUAUAAUAAUUUCUAGAUCUUGACGUGUUGUAAAGUACUAUAUCGUUCAGUUCCAGAUUCCUGUGACUAAAUGUUUUGUGCCUUUGUACACACACUGUGAUCUGUAAGUUGUGAUACACAAAUGCUAAACUGAGGCUUAAUAUUGUUGAGAUUUCACUUAUUUUGCUUACGAAUAUUCAGGUUGUUCAUAAUAUUUUGUGAACAAAAGAUUUCAUUUAAUGUGAACUUAGUAAGAAUGUACUUUUUUGCACUAAAGCAAAAGAAAAAUUUGGAGUUGCCAUUAUUUAUUGGUUAUUAUGUUAUGAAUUUACUGGUCCAGCCCACUUAAGAUCAGACUGGGCUGAAUGUGGCCCCUGAACUACAAUGAAUGUGAUAUCUCUGCUAUAAUUCAUUCACAUUCCGUGAUGUUUGCAUGAAGGCAGGCCUUGAAUACAAAACAUCACCCUCAGGAAUUUUUUCUAGUCUUGUUUGUGUGACAUUUGCUCAUAGUGACCAAGAAAUUAAACCUGUCCUCAUGCUAUAUGUAAUUAUACACAUAUACAGUACCUUUCCUUGUAUAUGUGUGUAUGAAAGGGCAUAUACUCCAGAGUGAUUAUAUAGGGGCAUAUGCGCACUUCUGUGCUUGUGUCUGGCUCAGUGCAUCAGCAACUUGCCGACAAAGUAUGCCAACUCUCCCCAUCCAAACUGGCCAUGUCUCUGUCUGAACGGUGAUUUUAAUGAGCAGGUGCUGGGGAGCGGGACAAAAGGCAUUAAGCAGCUCAUCUGUCCUGAUUGCAGGCAGCCACGCUCCUCUAGAUGGGAUGUGGAGGGAGGGGUGAACUUGUCCUAUCCUCACUGUGUCUCUGUGUGUCAGCCUCUGUCUGAUUAUGCAGAUUCCUUUGGAAUAACUACCAGUCACCACACUAAUGGAAGAGGGUUCAAUUAUGACGCUGAAAUUCCACAGUUCCAACAGAAAUUUUAAAAAACUUAGAAUAUUUACCGUCAGUGGCUUAUGGUAGAUCCACAGUUGUGCAUUUUUUAAAGAAAUGUGUAAUCUGACGGUGGAAAUGCUCAGUCAUGCUGUUGACUGCUUACAUAUCGACAAGGCAAAAAGCUUAAACUUUCAUUGGAGGGGUUCGCUAAGUUAGUAUUCAGUAUACAACAGUAGAGCUACUGAAGUAGAGGUGGCACUGAUUGGUAAUAUUGUUUGUGACUGGUGAAGUGAAUAAUCAUACAAUAGUAAAAUUUCAGUCAUUGCAUCAGUUACUAUUCAUACAGAUGGCAUUAUGUGCACAUUUGCAUAAAGUUCUUAUCCACUUAUCACA